rnacentral:rRNA from 1 species
UACGUAGGUGGCAAGCGUUGUCCGGAUUUACUGGGUGUAAAGGGCGAGUAGGCGGGCUAACAAGUCAGAUGUGAAAUACCGAGGCUCAACUUCGGGGCUGCAUUUGAAACUGUUAAUCUUGAGUGAUGGAGAGGCAGGCGGAAUUCCCAGUGUAGCGGUAAAAUGCAUAGAGAUUGGGAGGAACACCAGUGGCGAAGGCGGCCUGCUGGACAUUAACUGACGCUGAGGAGCGAAAGUGUGGGGAGCAA